rnacentral:rRNA from 1 species
GCGACUCUCGGCAACGGACAUCUCGGCUCUCGCAUCGAUGAAGAACGUAGCGAAAUGCGAUACCUGGUGUGAAUUGCAGAAUCCCGCGAACCAUCGAGUCUUUGAACGCAAGUUGCGCCCGAGGCCACUCGGCCGAGGGCACGCCUGCCUGGGCGUCACGC